rnacentral:lncRNA from 1 species
CACCAGAUAAAAACAUGAAAUACUAAAAAAAGGAAAAAAAAUCAGCAAUGCCAAAAUGAGAUUAUCACCCUACUUUAGUUGGAGGGAAAAAAGGGUCAUGCCAUUUCAAAAAGCGAAAUAACAAAGAAAAAUUAUCUGAGAUACUGAUUCGUAAAAAAAACAGAAGGUUCAACUGACGAAAUACUGAUUCAUGUAGCUUUAAAAGCUAAAUAAAUAACAAAACAUCACUGGAUUACAUAUUGUUCAAUCGACUGUAACAAUAAAAAAUAUGAAUGCGCACAGCCUCCUGACUAAACUGUAGCAACUCUUGAUGAUCAUGAUCAAUUUGAACUCCUCAAAAUGUGUUUCGCCUGAUGGUGAUUAGUACACCAUCGCCAACACUAAGGUCCUUCUCAAACAGAAACUCCUUCAACUCCACUUUAAAUUCAACUCGACUGUCCAUGCAAGUCUUGUACACAUGAGUGGUGAUCCUCCCUAUUUCCAGAUGUAUGCCAGCCAGACCAUCCGCCGCAAUCUGGAGACAGAAAACUACCUUGAAAUGUAUCAUAUUCCCACUAAACUUGAACCGAAUAUGGUAUCAUAACCCAAAAACUAAAAAAACACUGAACUUGAGCCGAAUAUGGUACCUAUAUUCCUUUAAUUAAACGGAAACUAAAAAAGAUAAAUGACUAAACUGCCAAAACUGAACUGUGAGAAGUAGAUGCUCCUACAGCCAACCUGGCGACUCCACACAAUAAUUAUCAAGAAGUAAGCACUGAAAAAAAAUCUAGGAGAUAAACAGAAGUGACACAGUGAGCAAAAACACAGGGUCCGCAGAGUCAUAACUGAACCGCGAUGAGCUAAAUGCUUCUCCUGAGAAGUAGUUCUAAUAACCUGAAAACUGAAAGACUGCCCACACACACCCUGAUCUAUAGUGAUAACUAGUGAUCUGAAUAAGAAGCUAAUGCAUGGUUGCCACACUUGAACUGAAGACUGAAGAAAGAAAUAGAUUACUGAAGAACAAUCCACUACGAAGAUGACUGAAAAUAUUAUAGGACAAGACUAAAAUAAUUUGCACUGGAAGAAAAAUUCACUCAAAAUGAAACACUGAAAAAAAAAGACUAAUGAUAGAAUUAACUGAAGACAUUGACUGAAAAGGACAAGAUUGAAUAACAAUGGGUAACAGAGAAACCUGAAAUUGAAGGCAACCUAAUGAAAAAAAGAUUAACGAUAGAAUGAAAGACUGACAACAUAGGACAAAAUGAAACACGCCUACAGAAAACUGAGGAUGAAUUUCUUCACUGAUUGAAGCACACACUACACAUAACUGAACGCAAGCUAAUUGGAGAACUGAAGAAUAGAGAGAAACUGAAUAUGACUGAAAAAAUUUAACGGAAUAUGACUGAAAUUGUAGACUGAACUAAACUGAAGAUUCACUGAAAUUGUUAAUUGAACUGAAGAGCUAAUGACUGAAUGAAAAAUGAAAGAAAAUAUUACAAUAAUCUGAAGAAAAUCUAAACAAUGACCAAAGUUAAUCACAACAUAAAAGACUUACAAAAAUAACUACACGACUGAAAACUGAAUAACUACGGACAUGUACUGAACCAAUAAAUACAGAAAAAGAAUAAAGAUUGAUAACUGAUACAUGGGUGCCGAUCCUUAGGGUUAUUGACGACUAAUAACUGAAAGAUAUUGAUCCUUAGAGGGGUACUUAUAACUAGCUCUGAAGACUAGGAACUGAAAACAAAGACUGAAGACUGUAGAAAUGACACAUAACUCUGAAACUACUUGCAAAAAUAACUCUGAAACUGAUGGAAUGAACCAUGAACCAAGUAAAUGAAACAGACUGAAAACAUAAAAGAGAGACUGAAUAUUCUCCAGUAGAAGAUGACUAAACUGUUAUUCUUUUUUCACAAACCUAAACGAUGAAUCAAACACCUAUACAAAAACUGGUAUUAAUAACAGAAAUAACAGAGGAAAUUUACUAUAUAUGAAAACUGAACUAGGGUGAGUAGAUCUACCAGAAUAAACAGAAGAAAAUCCCUAAAUAUGAGAAAAAUUGAUGCCAAAAUACUAAGAAAAUGAACUAAAAAUCGAAAAUCAAAUACAUCUAGCAGAGAACUAAGAUCUAAAACAUAAAAACUUUAGGAAAAUACAUACAAAAUGAAUCUGAAGGAAUCGAGAGGACUAACUGAAAAAGAGGAACCACAUACACUACCUGUGGAACCACAUACGCCUAGGAAAUCCCCUACUUCUUCCUCCCGAGAAAGGGAGGAGAUGUUGGUGAAGGAGAGGAAGAGUUCGUCGGAGAGAGAAAUGAGAGGAAAUGAAAAAAUAGGGAGAGGAAAUGAAAUAUGUGAGCGUGUCUCCAAAGAAAGUUAUGCUUGCCAUCUCAGUCAACCUGAAACGAGACACAAUGAAAUUCCUUCUACACUCCUUGUCUUGUGUCACUAAAGCAGCACUGUUUGGCAGGCCCAACACAAAAUGAAAUGGAUCAGUUGAAAAUUACUUCUCUGAACCUACAAAAGAUUAAAAGUGCCAUUCAUCAAGUACGUACAGCCACAAAAAAUCCUGGAACAGAUACAGAAAUUUGGCAAAUCAGCAAAAAUGACUUUCAUAAAAAGGGCACGGAACACACAGAUUCACCGCAUUUGCUAGCAAUGCUGUCCUAUACUAUGGCAUGAAAUUGCUAGCCCAGCCGCAGACAAACACUAGCUAGUGGACAUAGGAGACGAAAAGAUGAUCACAACACAUCAACAAACAUGCCAGUCUAGAGAAUAUGUUCUCUUAAAAUUAACUUAAAGCACCAGAAAAAAAGAGUUAGAAAAGCACUCUUGUAGAAGAUAUUGCCCAGAUUCCUUAAAAAAACAGACACCAAUCCACGGGAUUUUUUUUUACAAAACCCACUAACUAGUGCCUCCUUGCCAACUAACAGAUGUAGGAUUAACUCUGCUUGACCAAAAAAAAGCAGGAAAUCAAUGAGACCACAAGCAACAGGAAUAUCCCCCUCGAUGCUGUUGUUACUCCAACAAAGCACCUCACAUUUUUGCUCCCAGAUGCCAUCAACUAAUCAUCAGCCUACACAUCCACAAACUCAAGACUAGGCAUGUUAUUGCAUCCGAAUGGCUUGGAAUUAACACCCGGGGCCAUAGCACAGUGGGCUGACCGGUGACCGCAAAUUUGAGUGCUUCUGCUUCAUGAGCAACUCAUGAAUCAGAACACUAAUCCUGACCCACAAAAGUAGAAUUAACACAUUCUGCAUUCCUGUGCUAUGGCAUGAAAUUGCUUGGUCGGCCGCACAUAAACACCAAAUCCUGACCCCCUACGAAGUGAAUCUAACACUUACACACCUACAGAAAAAAUGCACUAGAUUCCCUUCCAAAAUAUGGAUCGCCAGUACACACAAAUUACUGAUAAACGAGUACCCCCCACAUAACACAUAAUCUGAAAAAGGGGGAAACAUAGCUGAACGCACAGCCCCAGAAAUUCGUGGGCGGAAAAUCGAGCUCCAUGGAUCCAAUGAUCUAAGAAUCGAGACGAUGCUGAGAUAUCUCAUGAAAUUAGUGCAAGCACGAUUAAUCCCACACAACCAAAAAGGAUCCGAGGGAGCGCCACUAACAGAUACACGGAAAUGAGCACAAAAACUGACAGAGAAAUUACUCACAUGAGAGGUGCGGAGUGGGGAAAAAAACAAUCCGUGCCUCCCACCCGACCGGCGCCGACGACUGAUUCCGACCUCACCGGCGAACGCCGGGAUUGACGGGAAAACGCCAUCAGCCUCCUCUCGGUACCACUCUCCCUCUCCUUCCUCCUGCUACUCCGCGGCAUCUAGACUCCCUCUUCCUAGGGCUGCCCGCCGGCACCUUCCCGCUCUCCAUGACCUCUCGCCAGCCUCCUGCCAGCCCCUCGCCGCUGUUCGCCGACGGCCAGAAAGCGGAUCCGGGUACAGACGGCCCCGUGCCCAGUCCAUAUUAGCCCAAACAAGAACUGAAAAGGCCCGGUACGCGCCACAUA